rnacentral:rRNA from 1 species
CGGCACGGGUGAGUAACACGUAUCCAACCUGCCGUCUACUCUUGGCCAGCCUUCUGAAAGGAAGAUUAAUCCAGGAUGGCAUCAUGAAUUCACAUGUCCGCAUGAUUAAAGGUAUUUUCCGGUAGACGAUGGGGAUGCGUUCCAUUAGAUAGUAGGCGGGGUAACGGCCCACCUAGUCAACGAUGGAUAGGGGUUCUGAGAGGAAGGUCCCCCACAUUGGAACUGAGACACGGUCCAA